rnacentral:lncRNA from 1 species
AUCUACGCUCUAACUUAACCUAGAUAGAUAGGUAGGUGUCAAUAGGAAAGAUGGUAGAAUUGAAUAAGAACAAUAUUAAAGGUAAGAUAACAAUGGGUGAUAAUAUGGGAAUAGAGAGUAGAGCAAUCUAGUAUAUGGGCGAUGGUAGGAGAAUAGAGACGAUAACUAUGGUUUCUCGACAUCAAUGGGGUAUGUCUAUUUCUGGGGCGAACCACGUGAUAAUAAUACACCACAAAGGAUGCUUAUCCAUAGCCGAUAAACUCUAACAGUCCGGCUAACAGGAGGUGGACUACAGGGGACCAACGUAAGAGUCACCUACGCGGCCUACCAGACGAUCUGGCUAGACAGGGGAUAUCCACAAGUAAUCUAGGUCUAAGCACCACGCUUACACCUAUACUACAACUCUCACCUAUAGCGUCCUAUAUAUAGAUUAAAGUACUCAAAAGAGUUGUGAACCAAAACAUACAUGGAUAGCAAUUACAUAAUGAAAUAAGAAGUAGAUUACCAGAGUCAUCCCAUGAGCAAGCUUGAUUAGAGCUUGAUCAUGGCGAAGUACAACCGGAGGAAGAACUGAUAGGUCGGCCUCUCCUCCAAUCCUCCCUCGCUCUCCAUCUCGCUACUAUCUAGAUCUACUCUAGUUUAGAGAUGAGAGGAGAGCUCUCAUCUCCAAACCCUAGCUUUUGCUCUAUCUAUGAAUAAUGAAUAAGGAUGAAGGGGUGCCUCCUCCAGGGGCCAGGGGGUCUGCUUAUAUAGGCCCCUCAAGUGAAUCUGGGUCGUCGGAUCAAACCGAUAUUAAUCGCACGGUUUUCCUUGAUCCUUUAGGUCGGUGGAGCAUGAUCCGCGAAGUUGGUUCUGAUUGGUGGAAAAAGUAGGGCGGGCGCCCAAGGGGGGAGGGCGGGCGCCCUACCCCCGAGCCCGCUCGGCUUCCCGUUCGUUCCCGUGGCUUCUGGACUCUUCUAGAUGAUAGAAAAUUGUGCGGCACGUUAAUAUCUCUAUGUAAACCCGACGUGUGGGCCUUUCCUCUACAUUUCCUGAUAACCCCCUGCAGAAAUAGACAAACACCAAAACUCGUGGAAUUUUGUCAAAUAAAACCCUAAGUCUGGGUGUUGGUUGCAUUUGGAUCCUUUUCUUUGUUUAUUUGAUAAUUAAAUUUGGUACUUAAGGACAGUCAACAACUCCUCGAAGCUUACCUCUUGCUUGUCCCUCAGCAAAGAUGGACUCAAGAGUUUCUGCAGUGGUUUCAUGCCUUAAAGGUACACAUGCGUUCAAACAAGAUCUCAUGGUUAGGGUAAACUGUUAACACUUAAAACUUACUCAUUAUACCUUUCACCAUGGGGCUUGCAACCGUCACUUCUGUCUCGAGCAGUUAAAAGAUAGAACAGUCUAUUCAAGCGCUAUGUCUCUUAUUCUUGAUUAGCUAUAGCUUUGGAGUUUUCGUAAAUUUUCAAAAUAAAACUCAGAGAUUCCUUGUAUGACUCUCUCUAGUCUGUCUUUUGUUGUAUUUCUGGAUUCUUACCAAGGCAGUGAUGGUAUAUGCCUUCUCUCAAAGUAUGUGGUAUUUGUGGUAUGAGGCAUAGUGAUAUUGCCUUCUCUCUCACCCUACUCUAAUAAGGUUUUGAUAUCUGGAGCUCAUAGGUGGGAGAUAAAGUAUACAUACUUACAAGACAUUUAUUGCAUAGUCAAACCAUGGAUCCAGAGAAACAAGUCAAUAAGUCAAUAUCAAGAUGUGCAUGUGUGGCAAAUGAAUGAUGUAUGGUGAUGAUGGUGAUAAUGGUGAAAACAAUGGUGAAAGUCUAAUUCUACUUUUGCUCUUUUGAGAGGAUACAUACCUUUCUUGCACUUUGAAGCUUUUUGAGGAGAAUGAGAUGCUCUAUAUUUUGUUUUUCUUUUCACUCAGGUGGGUAUCUUGUACCCCUAAUUCUACUAUCGGACACUUGUCCAUUUUUACCUCUCGUCUCACUUUUUUUUAUUUUUUUUUUAUUUUUUUCGAGGUUCCGGGCACUUGCCCCUUUUUAUUUCCUCAUAUUUAUUUUUUUUCAGAGCACUCACCCUCCUGGAAUAAUGUAGCAAGUGGUACUAACCAAAAUAUCUUGAGUAUUUAUUUCAUGCGGAAUAAUAGGGAUAGGAUAAUGUUUUUGGCUAUUCUCUCCUUGAUAGGAGUAGAAUAAUUUUGGGUGAAUCUAGAGAUGGAAAGGAGUGGAUAUAUGUGGAUGCGUACUUCCGGAGUAGAAGCAGCAUGUAUGAGUGAAUGUGUAAGUGAAUCUUGAUUUUAACCGCAUGACAAGCUCCUAAGGGUCUACACAGCUUGACCACACUCAAUGCUCAUAAUCAGUGAAAAUUAAAUGUAUGGUUCAUAGUCUAAUAAGCAUGUAUUUAUGGCUAUGCAUCAUGCAACAUUUUAAAGAUUUUCAAAGAUAAAAUUCUCCAGAAUUCUAGCAUCUCUAGGAAUAGAUAAACAGCAGCUCAACCUUCCCAUAUCAUAUCCGUUAAUGACUUAGACUUUAGAUCAAGUACUCUUCCCACAAGUUCAGAUUUAGAGCAAAUCUUAAUUCAUAACAGUCAUACCUAAACUUGAGAGAGAAUUCAAUUUUGAGAACUAAUCAUGGCAGAGCAACUAUUCAUCAUUUCCUUGUGAGAGCUUACCAUGAGGGUUCAUAUCACACUUUGUUUAUUUAUGUAUUUAGCAAACUAAGCGAAGAUGUAUAUAUAAGCACAAAAAUCUUUAUUUGGAUUUUUAUGAUUAUACAUCUUUUUAUUAUUUGAGUAAAGUAUAAACGCGAGUAGAAACACUUAGCUGGAUAUAUGGGGGUGCUCUCCCCCAAGCUGGAUUUUGACGUAAUUUCUUCUGAUGUAGCUAGCAGGUGGCGGAGGUGUAUUUGAAAGUCGGCAGCACCCUGACAGCGAUUAGGAUGUCCUCCGUCUGCUAGUCUUCCUUGAUCCUUGAAUUCUGUGGAGCUCAAAUAGACAACAAAGCUUUGUGGAACUAGUUAAGUGUUAGCAUAAAUAUCUAGCCUUUAUCAUGUUGAGCUUCCUCUAAAAAAUAUUACUCUCUUUGGUAGGAUCAUAAAUUUAUUUUUAUAUUUUCAUUUCUAUAGGACAGGAAUAUAUUUUUUUAUUUUUACGCCACCACAGUGAAUGUACUUGUGGGUUUUAUGCCACGAGCAUACUGACAUGGGGCUUACUAUUUUUAACAUUUUUAUUUUCUUUUCAAGAUAGCAUGAUUAACUAAUAAGCUAUUUAAGGAAAGUAAAUAAUUUAAGAGAAAAGGGAAUGCAGAAAGGAUAAAUAUGUAUCGAUUUUACCUUUCGGCGAGGGUUCAAUGUUUUAAAUCUUCUAAACAAGACUUCUCACCGUGUUCAUUCUUUAGGUGCGUCAUUUGAUUCAGGUGCGGACCUUGACGUCUGCACCUCUUGAUACGGUGUCACCCAUGUUCUUCGUUUGCCCAGCAGUUCGAAGUGCGGCAUUGGCAGUAUCUUGCUCAGUGUGUUUGUACUCGUAGAUCCAGGUCCUUCACUUGGUGGAAUCUAGGAGUUGUAAAACUCCACCAUAUUUUGCUCCAAGUGUACGUGCUCAUAGAGACAAGGCAGAGAUCAAGUGCAUGGGUCCUGUUGGUUGAAAACACCAACAGAACCAAAAGUAUAUUUAUUCUUCUCUAUCCUUAAGCAUAGGGAGCAAGUCAAAGUUGAUGGGUGAUAAGUUCAUGAGUGUAACAGAAACAAAAGUUUAUUCUUCUCUAUCCUUAAGCAUAGGGAGCAAGUCAAAGUUGAUGGGUGAUAAGUUCAUGAGUGUAGCAUUUAAAACAUUUGUCAGAUCAGAUGGAAAGAUAAUCUAUCUAUAUUUAUGUUUUUUAUAUAUCUUCCAAAGAUUGAGUGUGCAACAUUUUAGCUCAUAUGAUUAGGAGGGUGGGAUCAUGGAGGUAGUACUAGGAACAAAGAUUAAAGGACUAAACAUGCUAAAUCAGUUGGGUUGGUUAAUUUGAAGUUAUAAAUAAUACAUGUUUGUCUCUUUAUUUAUGUGAACACUAGAACCAAAGAGAAGCUUAUAAAAGUGAUAGUCAAGUACCUUAAGAUGUUACCUUACUUGAAGAGUGAUGGUACAGUAUCACCUUGUGGAAGCUUUCCUUUCUUAGCAGUUGUGCAUCGUGUUUGUGGCACCCUCCAAGGAUCAUCUCUUAUGAGCUACGUCUUCCUUGUGUAAAUUGUUAAACUUGAUGUGUCUCUCUCUUUGUCUCCAAUGUGAGUUUAUCUCAGGACUUUCCAGGUCGAUAUUGAAAGUUUUCCAGUAGGGGUUAGUACAACAAAAUAUCCAAUAUCUACUAUAGCAUACUAUCGGCUCAAAAAUCAACCUAGACACCAUGUCUAAUUUGAUUUAGGAGGGCAUUUUAACCUAAAGCACCAUGCUUAAUUUAAAAUCCCUUGGAAGUAUGAUCAUCAUUCCUAAACUAAGCACCAUGCUUAUUUAAGAGAUAACUGAAACUACUCCAAACCUAGACAUAUACUAAAGCAAAUAAAGGUAGCAUGAGAGCAUUUAUAGAGAUCUACUCAAGUGGAGAUGAAGUAGUGUGAUUAGUAUUUAACAAAUUAAGCAUGUCUCAAAGGUAGGGACAACCAACAUAGCAACAUGGCAAAUGAUAUUUUUAUGUAAAGUACUCCCCCAAGCUUGAAUUUUGCAAAAUUCAAGUUUGGAUGAAUUUUAUUCAGUGUUGCAUGAUGAUUGGUUGGACAUACCUUGUGCUUGUCAUUCAUCCGAUCUUCUUGCUCCAAUCCUGGAAAGGUUAGUGACAAGAAUACCCAAAGGAAUAUUUUUACAAUUAUCCUUAUAUGCUCAAUAAAAGGUAAUGUUGCAAAUAAUUAAAAGCUCAUGUUACGAUCUGACCAGUGCUCAUUUUAGGACACUAAGCUUGUCCUUGGGAAACCAUCAAUUUGUGUCGACGAAGUGGUUUCCCUUCCAACACUGACCUAUAUCAAGAUCAACUCAACGAGAUUUGCAAUAUUUAUUAUAGACAUAUGCAUCGACAACUGUGGUUGGAGAUCUCAAAUUUGGUGAUGUUUGAGAGACCAAUAGAUUGGGAAGAUGUUGUAUAUGAUCAUGGAGUAAACGAAGUGGCUAUGAAAUAAAUUUCAUGCUCGUUAAUGUUAUCUUCAUCUCUAAUCUAAAUGUUCGGAGUUUCGCCUAGAUUGGUCUCACCUAUGUCCUCUUCUGUGGUUGGAUAAAUCUCAUCUUCAAAGGGAGUCAAGAAUUCACCAUUUGAAAUUGAACCAAAGUCAGAAUCCAUUAAGGCUUCUUCCUUAUCGAUCCAUUUAGAACUUGUGAUCAAGAAAGGGGAGGUGUUAGAAUUUUCUAUAUGGCUUAGCUCUCCUUCUAUGACAUUACUUGACAUGUUAUCCUCAUGGUCUUUAUGACUCCUAUGGUUUGAUCGGCUUGAUGGAUUGCUAGGAUCAUCAUGAGACUGAAAAGGAGAGGGAUAAGAGGGGUCUCUAAGGUUAAGGAUGGAUUUAGAAUUUGUGAACAUGGAAGGGGAGCAGCUAGAAUCUUCUAUAUGGUUUAGCUCUCCUUCACUUGAUAUGUCAUCCUCGACUUCUUUAUAACAGGAACUAGGACAUUCUCUAAGAGAACCAUUAUUGCAAGGAUUUGAAUUAUCCCUGCUUGAAGGUCUCUUAUGGAACCAGAAGUCUAAACCAUCAGCAUCUGAAAUAUUUAUGGUCGGAAUUCCUUCCUCCCUUGGAGAAUUUUGGGGUAUUGAUGGUUUAGGAUCGAUAGCUAAAGUUUGGUAUUGAAGUGGUUGUGAUCUGGCUAUUGAAACUUCUUCUUCUUGUCUAGGAACUGGUUCUUUCUCUUUCUCAGGGAUAUAAAUGCUAGGAAACUUUCCACUCAAUGAAUCAAUUAAAUCCCUAGCUUCACUAGCAGGUAGGUGAUAGAAGGAUCCUCUAGAGGAUGUAUUCAAGGUUUGCUUAUUUUCCCUACUAAGGCCCUCAAAAAAGUGAAUUAGAAGAACUUCUUCUGGAAUAGAAAGCUUUGGGCCAGUGAGAGUAAGGUUAAUAAAGCGGACCCAUAAUUUACCAAGAGAUUCUUCUUCCAGUUGUCUAAAAGAAAUAAUCUCAUGCCGAAGUUCUGCCACUUUGGAGAUUGGAAAAUAUUUAAAAAGAAAACUAUUAUAUAACUCCUUCCAAUCUCCAUGAACACUCCCUACUUUGAGUUUGUACCAAUGUCUAGCUUUUUCCUGUUAAAGAGAAUUGAAAGAACUUCCAUUUAAGGGUCUCAUCGGACAUGCCUUCUAUGCGAAGGAGGUCACAAAAUCGAUAAAACUCUCUUAAGUGUGUGUAUGGGUUUUCCUCACCUUCUCCUGAGAAAGGUUGUUUUUGAACAAAUUCUAUGUAUUCGGGGUCUAUCUCAAAACUAGAUGCUAUGAUAGGCUUUGAAGAUUUUGGUGGUUCGAGAUAUGUGCCCGUAGGUCUAUGAAAUUCAUAGAUAGACAUGUUUGAAUUCAUGAUAGACCAGAGAUCAAGGAUUAGAUAAGAAGAAAGAAUAGCAGAGAUAAGGCAAAAGAUAAAAGGAAAAGUAUAUUUUUUUAUUUUUUUUAGAAAAUGAUUAAGCUAGUUCGUAGUCAACUCAGCAACCGUUUCCCCGACAACGGCGCCAAAAAGCUUGUUGACACUUGCUAAUACCACUUGAAUACUAGGUUGUCAUCCCCAGCAUGGCACUAGAGUGUACUAUGGUAUUUAUACGCACACAGAUAAAUCCGCAAGCGCACGGAUACCGUUGUAGCUUUUACCCGGUUAAAGGUUUUAUCGUAUCCACAUGGGAAAUAGGAGAACUGAUCUACGCUGUAACUUAACCUAGAUAGAUAGGUAGGUGUAAAUAGGAAAUAUGGUAGAAUUGAAUAAGAACAAUAUUAAAGGUAAGAUAACAAUAGGUGAUAAUAUGGGAAUAGAGAGUAGAGCAAUCUAGUAUAUGGGCGAUGGUAGGAGAAUAGAGAGGAUAACCAUGGUUUCUCUACUUCAAAGAGGUAUGUCUAUGUCUGGGGCGAACCACGUGAUAAGAAUACACCACAAAGGAUGCUUAUCCAUAGGCCGACAAACUCUACCAGUCCUGCUAACACGAGGUGGACUACAGGCGACCAACGUAACUGUCACCUACGCGGCCUACCACACAAUCCGGCUAGACAGGGGAUAUCCACAAGUAAUCUAGGUCUAAGCACCACGCUUACACCUAUACUACAACUCUCACCUAUAGCGUCCUAUAGAUUAAAGUACUCAAAAGAGUUGUGAACCAGAACAUACAUGGAUAGUAAUUGCAUAAUGAUAUAAGAAGUAGAUUACUAGAGUCAUCCCAUGAGCAAGCUUGAUUAGAGCUUGAUCAUGGCGAAGUACAACCGGAGGAAGAACCGACAGGUCGGCCUCUCCUCCAAUCCUCCCUCGCUCUCCAUCUCGCUACUAUCUAGAUCUACUCUAGUUUAGAGAUGAGAGGAGAGCUCUCAUCUCCAAAACCUAGCUUUUGCUCUAUCUAUGAAUAAUGAAUAAGGAUGAAGGGGUGCCUCCUCCAAGGGCCAGGGGGUCUGUUUAUAUAGUCCCCUCAAGUGAAUCUGGGCCGUCGGAUCAAACCGACAUUAAUCGCACGGUUUUCCUUGAUCCUUUAGGUCGGUGGAGCAUGAUCCGCGAAGUUGGUUCUGAUUGGUGG